ensembl:lncRNA
AUGAUGCAAGUCAACCUUUGCAGCUCUGCACUUGCCUGCUGUUGCGACACCCAGAGACGCACGUGGAAAAGCAGACACUUCCUGCUACCUUCUGAGUUUGGGUGCUCACAUUGCCAAGGUAACCAGGUUAUUUGUGGGCUGUUACAUUCUUGUUUUAUCCUUUAUGUGAGGAAAUCAGGCUAUUUGCAGUGUUGUAAAGGCACGCAAAUAGUUCAGCCAAUAAACACAUCUCUUUAUUUACUGGCACUGGCUGUGAUAGUCGUGCUCUGGGCUGCUCAGAAUGUGUGUGAAAACAGGCUUUCUUCUGGGUUUUGUGCCAUUUGCUCCCAUGCUUCCUCAAAUCUGUCUCCUCAUUGCGGAGUGCCGGGCUGGCUGAAUGCGGUGUGUGAGGAGUUGUUCGCAGGGACAGCAGCUCCGGGGGGGUCCCAUCCAAACUCCGUGUCCUGUUCCUGUGACAGUGUGCAGUGAAGAGCUGUGAGGCUGAAGGGAUCAGCAUUCCUGCAGAGCCCUGAGUCACCUGGCAUGGUACUGAAUUUCAGGAAGGUAGAAUAACUGGAGCGAGAGUUGAAGCUUGCUGGAAGAAGAAGACUCAAGAAUACUUGUUUUGUGUGUGCUGUUGGGAUCUGGUCUGUAGCAGGAAGGGGAGUCCCUGCGCUGCUGGCUGUGGAAGGAACACACCAGCUACAGGGUGCUCAGCCAGGCAGGGGACAGAUGGAAAGGGAUAUCCUGCACUGGCUGUGAACAGACCAAGCCACCAGCAGAAAGACUGAGCUCUGAGCUUUUAACAAACCACAACCUCAGCCUUCUCCAAGGCCUCCUCUGAAUAUAGGAGUAAGGUGUCAGGCUAGAGUGCCCAACUGCUGGAAUCCUGAUCCUCACCUGGGAAGGUGUUCCCUGGAGAAGUGCAGACAGCAGCAUCCUGCCCUGUGGGAACCCCUGAAGAGGAGAAGGCUUGGCCAGGGGGAGCACACAGGAGGAUUUUAGAUUGGGUUUUGAGGACAGGCUGACUUCCAGGUCCAGCUCUGGGGCAGCCCUGGUAAACACUCUUCAUUUACUGGGAGGGACAGGUGUUCCAUGAGCAGGGCGGGGUGGAUGCUCUUUGCCAAACUCUCACUUGUCUCCUUUCUCCUUAGGGCAUUCUUCAUUCACUAAACUUGCUACUAAGGCAGCUUUGGUGGAAGUAAUAUUUCCUGAAAGUGGAGGCCUUUCCUGGCUAAGCACCCAGUGUUGAGGCUUGGGUGAACUGCUGUUUGGAAGAGCAGUGGGAAAAGUGUGGAGUUUUGCUGUGUGCUCCACUACCAGAAACUGCAGACAAGAAUACAGAUAACAAACAACACCAAAAAGCAGAGAACCACUUUCAAUUGCCUGCAUUCAGAUGCUCCUGGUGAGCAGAACAAAGCUUUGAAUGGAGAGCACAACCUGCCUCUGUCUGUCUGCCUUCCUCCUUCCUGGCUCUAAACCAGACUUCAAGUGUGUAGCUCCAGAAUAAGCAGUGAGAGCCAGUUUAGGGUGGGCACCAUCCUUUCCCUCCACUAUUUCUACUGCCCCAGUCAACAGGUAAUUGAGCCCAGGCAGCACCCCUGUAGCACGGCUAUCAGAAAAAAUAACAAGCUGGCAAGUCCUAACUCCUUAUUUGUAUUUGGUGAAGGUUUUUAUCAUGUUUCCUGCAGACACGGAUGGAGAGGAACGGGUGGUUCUGCUGUUGGCAUGCCUUUCUGCCAAAUGCCAAUGGCUUUGCACCAACUCUUGAGUUACUGUUGGGUAUCAGUAUAUCCCUUUUUGCUUUUUCACUGCUUCUUCUCUGCCUGCUGAAGACAGGUAUCUUCUGUACAAAGAUUUUAAAGGAGCUGCUUAGCCUGUUUACUUUUCAUCUUUAUAACCCUUAUUCUAUUUUUUUUUUUAAAUUCUUCCUCUGCCCCAAAAACCUCAUGUUUACCUUCCCCAAGUAGAGAAAAUUUACAGGAAUCUGUAAUAUAUUAAUUGAAAUUUCUUCUUGCUGUGCAUGGCAACAAAAAAAGCAAACUACAACUGCAACACAAUGAAAGCAUAAACAGGAAAACAUACCAAAAAAAGCUUCAUUUUGGAGACAUAGUCCCUUAAGAAUGCAAAACCUUCUUGGCCUGGAAGGUCUGUGAGUCAAGUAUCAAUUGAUGUGAUGUACUGCAAAAGGAAGUGUUUAACUUUUUUAUUUCUGUACAGUAAAUCUCAAUGAAGCCUUCAGGGAAAUAAAACAACUCAGGAGAAUUCACAGGAAAACAGCUCGGAGGGCUGCCGGACAUGUAUGCACCACUUCAAGUUUCAAAGCUUCUUGGGAAUGUUAAUAGUUUAUUCUCAGCAGUGUUACUGGAAUGAGUCUGUAAUUUGGAAACCUUUGCACAACUUUCAAUUUUAAAAGAGAAUUCUGGACUAGAUUUUAGAAAGUGACUAUAAAAGAGUCCCUCAAAACUAUGGUUAGGUAGCCCAUGAACAGUGUCUAGAAAAGCAAGUCCCUUAAGGCUGUCUCCUCUUGGAAUCCAAAUUUAAUAUGUGAUUUAUGUGAUCUUAUGUUGGGAAGUCACCAUGUGAUUUGGGCAACCAAAAAUUGGUGAAUUAUCCAUUAGCCGAAAUAUAUUUAAACUGAGUAAUUGAACACAAUGAGUAGAGUAAUCAAAACUGAAGUGUGUUCGUGGCUUAUUUGUUAACUGACAAAGGAGUUCAAUCAUUAGAUGAGCAUUUGGCUCCAAGUUGUACACCUAGCUCUAUUGUCCAGCUGCAAAGGAGAAAAAUGUUCAGUUAAGCUCAGUCUUAAUGGUUUAUGAAGAUCAGAUCUGGUUUUAUUGCUUUACUUGGAAAAGACUUGAGAAGCCCUUGGAAUAUCUUUUUUAUUUUUAUUUUUUUAUCCCCUUCCAGCAGGAUGUCAGCAGAUCAGAGCAAGACAAUUAUCCCCUGCAGUUGGUCAGACAGUCAUCAAGGAAUUUCUUUGGUCUGGAAGUUGGAAGGGGUCCUUGUCUCUACUGCACUGGGACCCAGCCAGGCAGGACAGCAUUUUUCCUCUCUGCAACUUGAAUUAGGGCAAAGGAAGAACAAACUGUCACUAUGAGCUGUUCCAACCAACUCCCUUCUUCUAUCAACUGCCAACCACGAUUUUAUGUUUAAUUAUUUGCAUUAUGUCAUUAGUCCUGUGCUAGGUGUUGUACAUGGCUAAUGAUGCAAAGCCUGCCCCAGGUUUGGACACUGCACAGACUUCCCUGUAGGGUGGACAUGCAAAAGUGUUUGAAGUACUCAAGGAGGUGAAGCUGGCAAAACCUCUCCUAACUUCUCCCCUUGGAAUAGUUAGAUAUUUAACAUGUUAAUUUAGCUUACUUAUUAAAAUAGAAUAGUCAUCUGCAGAAGUAAAACCUGCACAGGUUAGAAACUCCUUUAUGCUUUCUGUGCUGUAUGUCUGAGCAGGACAUUUCUGAGGGAGACCCUGUCAGAGGUCCCCUGGACUAUUCCCACUGGCACAAGCCCAGGCUGGGCACAGGGACAAUUAUUCAGGAACCUUGGACAAAGCAGAAUCCAUCAAGCUCUUGGCUCUGCAGAAUGUAUAAGUCAAAGUAUCUCUUCUGAAGGUGCCUGGUUAACAGCAGAUCUUCCCCCUCCCAGAGCCUGUGGUCACGGCUGACUGCUUGUCAUUGCCCCAGUGUUAUUUCCAUGUCCUCACAGCCUGUGUGUGCACACGCAUUUCCACUUGCUUUUUUAUCAUGUUCUCCUUUCUGAGCUUCCCUUUAGACUGUUGAUAAACUGUAUUGCUUAAUAUGGGUGAGGGUGUUGGUUUUGGAGGGUCUGGCAAGGUUCCCUGCAGAGGAGCUGUCACAGUGUGGUCUCAUGGUCUAUGAGCUGGACAGUGGAGCUUGCUGGGUCCCUCCCAGCAGGAGUGUGCCUGCCAGCUGCCAUGGUGGGGGUGAAACUGGGUAAGGAUAUUCUGUGUACUGGUAGUAAAUCUCUGAGCAAAGUGGGCUAGGAAAGGGGAUGGGCGGUGCUGGUGGCAGAGGAGGGUCAGCCUGCCUCACAGAGCCCCUGUGCUACACUCACCAAGUCAGGUCUGAAAGAGUGCAGAGGGAAAUGAUUUCUUCUCUGGCCUGUGUUGGUGCCUCUGCCCCCUGCUCUCGUGUAGGGCUGUGUGUGUAGUGUCUGGGAAGCAGAGCAGGGCAAGGCAGCAGGUGGCCAAAUGCUUUUCUUUCUCAGUCCUGUGGUCAGAGAUGAGGCCAGUUGUCUGUCACCUGAAUCAAACCUGCCUUAACCUGGUGGAAUUGAGGUCAGGGACUGGAGCUGGAAUAUAUCCUGAUAUUCCAUGGCUGGCUGUACACUAGGAAACCCAGGAGCUGAUGGUGCUUCACUGCUCUGGUAGGAGAUGCCCUUUACCCUUCUCUGGAGUGGUUGAUUCUGUCUGCACUGAAAAAUGCUCUGCUUCCGGAGAGGAAAUGUGGGCCCUGCUUCUCUGAGAUGCUGCAGGGUGGCCAAACAUCCUCAGCAGAUAGAGAUCAUGUAAUUCAGGUGGACCACUAAACUUUUAGGCAGCAAUUAGGACUUAUACAGUAACUCUGAGUCAACUAAUACAUCUGGGUGUUGCCGUGGCAUACUUCCAAUGGCAAAUCCUUCCUGUGUAGGCUUGAUGUUCUUACAUUCUCUGAUGGCCUCUCAAAUGCUCCACUUGGAAACUUGAUCAAAAACCUGUGGUGAUGCCAAAGGGAGAUGUCCCAUUAAAUUCCUCAGUCUUCCUUUGGUCCUUUAAACCUGCAGAUGAUCCCAGGCAAUUUCUUUGAUGCCUUCUUCCUCAGUGGAUGAAGUAAUUAUGACUUCUGUGCAGCAGGCUAAUAGCUCUGAAGGCUUUAGUCAGGCUGAUUAACAACCACUGUGUUUUAAUAAAAAAAUGUUCUGGUAAAUCUUUCUGAAUUGCAGCCCUAAUUACUCUGCAGCCUGAUGUGCAGCAAUUGCAAGGCUAAUAGGAUCACCUGAAUCCAGUUAAUGAAUCCUCUGUUACGGCUUGCUGUGACUCACAAGAUGUGCAGUGUUUCUUCUGGUCUCCCCUGCCCUGCCCCAUUCCCUGGUGAAUAUUUAUGCUCUGUAU